rnacentral:lncRNA from 1 species
ACUGGACACCAUGCACAAGCACUUGACUGAGGUGUCACAAUUGUUUGAUCACUUUUGGAGUGAUUCAGGAUUUCUAAAUCCUUUUUUCUAAAGAGUCGAAGAAUAAUGAAUUUAAGAUUGAAAGUUAUGGAUAUGUGCAAGUGAUCCCAAUGACAUUCUAAGCUAUUAUAGUAAGGUGGCGAAUCCCACGUAACUUAUAAGUUUGAAGAUAUUGGACGAGGAGAGAUAGACCAUCGACAAUAGAGCCUGAAAUGAGUAAAAUUUUUCAACUAUUCAGCCUGUCCAAUGCGGAGUUGGUAUUAUUAACCGCGAGUUGUGUAUCUCACCAUGCACAAAACAGCUGGGGUAGGAGUCAACCUGGAUAUUUGUAUCAUUGUCAGAACUUCUGGCAUCUGUCCUUCGCAGGCACCGGCGUAGAACAACCUCGACGAUGUUAGCAGAAUACCAUUGACAGCUCCGAAGGUGGAUAAAGCAACGAAGACUGGUAUGGUCCAUGCCAUCACGCCAAAGAGCCGAUUGGCAAAUGUCUGUACAGAGCGUGAAUGGUUUAGAUGAUAUACAGAAUUGCAUCCGUUUGUAAAUGAAAGAUGGAGGUGACGUUGGUUUUUACUUACAACUGCUACAGCUCCGCUGCCAAGAACUUCGUCGGGACUAAGAGUAGUGUAGAAAGCAACAUUGGCGAAAACGUAGACGAUUGUGACUAGAGUACAGGAAAUUCCAAUGGCUCUGGGUAGAUUCCUGGAGGAAAAGAAAAUUAGUGCACUGAUCAAGGCUGUCCGCUUGGCUCAAGUCAUCGGGAAGCAUUCCAGGGGUUUCCGGAACUCUGUCACAUCAGAUACGGCAUUACUCAUGGUAGCGUGACAAGCGUUUGACAACCAAGGCUUGCAGAGAAUAAGAUUUACUGGAGAAGUUCGUUCGCGGUGAGGAUUGACAUUUUUGGGUGAAAGCCGUAUUUCUGAUGGUCAGCACGAAGCUGAAUCUGCCACGCUGAUCAGGCGCAAGAACAAUAAAAACAAUUUUAAAUGUGUUUCGAUAAUUACUAUAAUGAUGAUUGCGAGCUUCUAUACGUAAGACAGUAUAUUAAGCCGAGCAAGUGAAUUUAUUGGUAGAUUUUAUUUUACACAUUUAACACAACACUGAAGUUCGAUCUAGAAUGCGAUUACAGUAAUGCGAAAAUUUUUUGCAAUAUUUUAAUUGUCCAUUUGUCUGCACAACAUAGAAAAACUGUAUGUUUAUCUCGAUAGUGAUUGUAACAAUAAAUAAAAG